AUUGAACGCUGGCGGCAGGCCUAACACAUGCAAGUCGAGCGAGCGGCGGACGGGUGAGUAAUGUCUGGGAAACUGCCUGAUGGAGGGGGAUAACUACUGGAAACGGUAGCUAAUACCGCAUACCAUCAGAUGUGCCCAGAUGGGGUUAGCUGGUAGGUGGGGUAACGGCUAACCUAGGCGACGAUCCCUAGCUGGUCUGAGAGGAUGACCAACCACACUGGAACGGAGACACGGUCCAGACGCCUACGGGAGGUAGCAGUGGGGAAUAUUGGACAAUGGGCGCAAGCCUGAUGCAGCCAUGCCGCGUGUGUGAAUAAGGCCUUCGGGUUGUAAAGCACGUUCAGCGGGGAGGCGUUACCCGCAGAAGAAGCACCGGCUAACUCCGUGCCAGCCGCCGCGGUAAUAC
rnacentral:rRNA from 1 species